rnacentral:rRNA from 1 species
AGUGAACGCUGGCGGUAGGCCUAACACAUGCAAGUCGAACGGCAGCACAGUAAGAGCUUGCUCUUACGGGUGGCGAGUGGCGGACGGGUGAGGAAUACAUCGGAAUCUACUUUUUCGUGGGGGAUAACGUAGGGAAACUUACGCUAAUACCGCAUACGACCUACGGGUGAAAGCAGGGGAUCUUCGGACCUUGCGCGAUUGAAUGAGCCGAUGUCGGAUUAGCUAGUUGGCGGGGUAAAGGCCCACCAAGGCGACGAUCCGUAGCUGGUCUGAGAGGAUGAUCAGCCACACUGGAACUGAGACACGGUCCAGACUCCUACGGGAGGCAGCAGUGGGGAAUAUUGGACAAUGGGCGCAAGCCUGAUCCAGCCAUACCGCGUGGGUGAAGAAGGCCUUCGGGUUGUAAAGCCCUCUUUGUUGGGAAAGAAAAGCAGCAGGUUAAUACCCCGCUGUUCUGACGGUACCCAAAGAAUAAGCACCGGCUAACUUCGU